UUAAUAUUUGAUUCAAUUUAGAGAUGAAAUCUGUUGCAUUAAAGUAUUUAAGGAAAUAUGUGUUUUUAAAACAUCUUUGCUACUAAAAAAAAGAUGUAAAUAUCAAUAAUGGUUAUUUUUCAGUGUUACUAACUUAAAUGUUUUUAUUUCGGGGGCUUUUUGGCCUAUGUUUGCUCGUUACUGCUUACAGCUCAGCUUAUUAGCAGGGACAGACAAGUCCAGAUGAUGACAAAUUAAUUCAAAUAUAAAGAUGUCACUGAUCCUUAAAGGAAUAGUCAAUUAAAAGAAAACAUUUUGUAGCAAAAUGUAAUUUUGCAUUAAAAAAUUGUACAGUUUUUUUUUCAAGUCUUUAAUGCUUUGAGGAUGGGAAGAUUUCAGUCUUAUAAAAAUGUGGUGAUGGAUGAGUUUAUCUAAGGUUUUUGACAUAAUUUUCGUAGUCUUCUGUUUUGCUUCCUGCUACUGUUUACCACAUCUUCCCUCUCUAUCCCAGUGCUGUGACCCUUCCUGAGGGAUUCCAGCCACCUCCUUUAUAUCAGCUUAGAUGUCAUUCUGGCCCUGCAGUGAGCCAAUUCCAGUGGUGUAAGGUAGAGGAGAGUUUUAUUUUGGCAUAACCAUGUUGAUUUGGGAGGCAGCAGCAGCAGUAUGCUCAAGGAUAAUGAGUAAGGCAACACUGGUAAUAAGGUUUGGCUAGGCUGCAGUGUAAUGAUAACAUUAAAAUUAAGAUUGCUAAAAUUUCCAGAAUCUCUGUGGACGAAGUUACAAAUAGAACUAAAUCAAUUUAACUUACAUUGAAGGAAGAGGCUUAUUUCACUCUUCCUCCCACUUCAGUCUCCUGCUUUAUGCAUGCUGCCUGCUUUGCAUGAGCUUGUUGGACUGUUCCAAGAGUUAAAUCAGCUCAUAAUUCAGCAGUGAAUGCUUCACUUUUCUUGCUCUGUUUAUUCUGUGCUAGGAUAUUGAGCUGAUUUGCUCAGCCAGUAUUCUUGAGAGUCCAGAGCCUACAGAAGGGGACCUCUGUAGCUUUGUUUAGGGGUAGAAAGUGCAGUGGAGGAAGGAGGGAGAGUAGGAUUCCCUUUGUCAGUAGUACUCUGGUUCCUCCUUCAGUAUCACUAAAUUCAUCCCUGGACCACGGUAAGGCCUGGUUUUAGAAAGCUAAAUUCCCAGUCAAUUACUGCAGAAAAUCACAGAAUGAAUGAGAUUAGGAUGGACAUCUGAGAUGAUGUAAUCCAUGCCCUUACUUAAAGCUGUGUCACCUACGACAAACAGGUUGCUGGGGAACAGAGGCAGAUGGGCUUUGAACCUCUCUGGGGUUGGUGUCUUCAUGUCCUCACUACUUACCCAUUCCAGUUUAUGGUAGAAUAUUCCACCCAUGGUAGAGGCUCAGUUGAACAAUACAGCAGUUCGACAUCAUCUCCACUGUAAUUAUAUAGACUUACAUGCUGUCUCCAAGGCACAGAAAUUAUUCUGAAGGAUCAUCACCUCAGAUUUCCAAUAAAACUUUCAGUGUGUAGGAACAAGUAAUGACCAGCAGUCUUUUUAUACAUAAGAUUGAUGCUGUAGUAAAAUUGAUUUACUAUGCAAACCCCAUCAAACUUCAGUCUGUACUUUGAAUAUGAAAUAUUAUGAAACUGAUGAGACCCCUGGUGGCCUAUAAUAAACAGAUUUAAAAAGUGAUAAUUAUCUUCUUAAAGGGAGAUUAUGAAACAAAUUUGUUAGUUCUUUGCAUUGGCUUAGUCCGGGUUAGUACUCAUACUAGCUAUGUCAAAUUGAAUCUUACUCAUUAAAAAAAAUACGAUGAUGAGCAUCUAGAAAGAAAGCUAAAUAGCGUACAGAUCAUCACCUGUUGCAGGAAUUGCUUGCCUAUGUGAUACAAAAAUCUGUUUACUUGAAAUAAGGCAUGUUAAACACUAGAAAAGGAACAGAAGAAUUUUCUUAAUGGCUUUUUCUACCUAGUAGUAUAAUUACAGAAUAAGAAUGAAAAUUAUAAUCAGAUAGUGAGAAUAAAUUGGAGUAAAUUUAUCAAAGCCUAAUAUUGGGAGAUAUUAUUUAACAUGCACUUAUUACAUUCCCAUCGUUUAGAGUGGGGUGUGAUGUUAAAAGGGCAGUAUUAUUGUAUUUGUUGUUCUGACUACCCUUUUUCUUUGGGGAAACUAGAUAAUUUACAAUAUAAGUGCUACUUCCACUCAAGCUUUUUGUGCAAUUUCAGUGGAAACUUUUCCUUGUAGUAGGGUAUUUAUACUAAAUGAAAAGGUGAUCUCUCUUCCUGCCAUCUUAAGGGAAGACUUGUUAGUUGAUCUCAAAAUUAAACUGUGCUCUUUUUCUAAGUUAUAGUUAUGAUGAUGGAAAAGCUCUGUAAGCUUUUCUGUUACUUCCUCAGUAUCUGGAAUGUAGCAGCAAAAAUAAUGUUUACAGAAAGGAUUGGAAGGUUCAGUACUGAUUAUAUUUAAAUGGGUGCAUGUAAAUGUGCAAGUGCAUUGUAGUAAAAAAAUUAGGAAGAAGAGGACAUUAAACAACAAUUGCAAAUAUUAACACAAGCUUACAGAACGUGAAAAACCGUCAUUACACUUAGGCAGAGAAGAAGUCUGUCUAAAUCUAAGAGAAAAUGCAGUGUUGUUUUUGAGAUUAUAAAAAUGUCCUGAAAGAACAGAGAGGCAAAAUGACAGGCUAUCUUUUUGUUUUGCUUGGGUUAAGGAGUUAAAAAAAAAAAA